rnacentral:rRNA from 1 species
AGUGAACGCUGGCGGUAGGCCUAACACAUGCAAGUCGAACGGCAGCACAGUAAGAGCUUGCUCUUACGGGUGGCGAGUGGCGGGCGGGUGAGGAAUACAUCGGAAUCUACUUUUUCGUGGGGGAUAACGUAGGGAAACUUGCGCUAAUACCGCAUACGACCUACGGGUGAAAGCAGGGGAUCUUCGGACCUUGCGCGAUUGAAUGAGCCGAUGUCGGAUUAGCUAGUUGGCGGGGUAAAGGCCCACCAAGGCGACGAUCCGUAGCUGGUCUGAGAGGAUGAUCAGCCACACUGGAACUGAGACACGGUCCAGACUCCUACGGGAGGCAGCAGUGGGGAAUAUUGGACAAUGGGCGCAAGCCUGAUCCAGCCAUACCGCGUGGGUGAAGAAGGCCUUCGGGUUGUAAAGCCCUUUUGUUGGGAAAGAAAAGCAGCAGGUUAAUACCCCGCUGUUCCGACGGUACCCAAAGAAUAAGCACCGGCUAACUUCGUG